rnacentral:lncRNA from 1 species
CCAAGAUUAAAAUUCAAUCCAAACCGUUAACUACGAAGGAAAAUGAUUACCAAAGAGUGGAAAAAUUACAGCUGACUCUUAAAAUGUAAAAAGUCGCAGGAUAUUAAAAAAUAAUAAUAAUAAUAAUAAUAAUAAUAAAAUGAAAAGAAAGUUUUGAGGCUCAGAUCCAUCUCGGAUGGGACAUGAGAAAGACGACACCGCCAUGGCAGCAAAUUAGCCGGUUGCAUGAAUAGAGUAUACCAAACACCCAAAUCUCAUGCCAUUCGGGUUGCCAAGCCAAGAUACGGGUCGAAUUUUCUCUUUGCCCAAUUCACAAGCUCAGAAGAAUCCAGAAACAUAACAUCAUCACUGCCCCUUUAUUUACCAAUACAAUACUAGAUCCAAAGAGUAAUUAGUUGUUGCUAAAUUAAAGGGAAAAUUACACAAAUAUCACCAAAACAGAUUUGAGAACCUCCGACGCAAAUAUCUGUAACGAGUUAAUAAUAACCAAUAGUCACUGAACUUACAGCUUUCCUCUGCAAGAUUUUGAUUUCGUACAAAUCAAAGCUAUCUGGAAGGGUUGUUAAUGGUUUUUUUGAUGGAGAAAUCAUAGGGUAAGAGGAAGGGGUAACCACCCUCGAGAAAUUCCCAAUCUCCCUCUCCCCUCAUUCUUCCUUUCUGAGCUUGUCAUUUUGCUGAAUCGAGUAGAGGUUUGGUAUUUAUGGUGAAUUCGAAUUUCCAUUUUACCCUCGUUUCACUACAGUUUUUGCUGGCUGGUCCAUUAGUUAAGAAUGA